rnacentral:hammerhead_ribozyme from 1 species
AUCCAAUUGACGUGUCCUAAAUAGGACGAAAUACAAGUCCUGGAU